rnacentral:rRNA from 1 species
AUUGAACGCUAGCGGGAUGCUUUACACAUGCAAGUCGAACGGCAGCGCGGACUUCGGUCUGGCGGCGAGUGGCGAACGGGUGAGUAAUGUAUCGGAACGUGCCCAGUAGCGGGGGAUAACUACGCGAAAGCGUAGCUAAUACCGCAUACGCCCUACGGGGGAAAGCAGGGGAUCGUAAGACCUUGCACUAUUGGAGCGGCCGCUAUCGGAUUAGCUAGUUGGUGAGGUAACGGCUCACCAAGGCGACGAUCCGUAGCUGGUUUGAGAGGACGACCAGCCACACUGGGACUGAGACACGGCCCAGACUCCUACGGGAGGCAGCAGUGGGGAAUUUUGGACAAUGGGGGCAACCCUGAUCCAGCCAUCCCGCGUGUGCGAUGAAGGCCUUCGGGUUGUAAAGCACUUUUGGCAGGAAAGAAACGUCGCGGGCUAAUACCCCGUGGAACUGACGGUACCUGCAGAAUAAGCACCGGCUAACUACGUG